GACGAACGCUGGCGGCGUGCUUAACACAUGCAAGUCGAACGGGUCUGCCCUGUUUUUUGCGGGGUGGGUCAGUGGCGAACGGGUGAGUAACACGUGAGUAACCUGCCCCUCACUUCUGGAUAACCGCUUGAAAGGGUGGCUAAUACGGGGUGUUCUGGCUGUGCCGCAUGGUGUGGCUGGGAAAGAUUCACUUUUGUGGUGUUAUGGUGGGGGAUGGGCUCGCGGCCUAUCAGCUUGUUGGUGGGGUGAUGGCCUGCCAAGGCUUUGACGGGUAGCCGGCCUGAGAGGGUGGGCGGUCACACUGGGACUGAGAUACGGCCCAGACUCCUGCGGGAGGCAGCAGUGGGGGGUAUUGCACAAUGGGCGGAAGCCUGAUGCAGCGACGUCGCGUGAGGGAUGGAGGCCUUCGGGUUGUGAACCUCUUUCGCCGGUGAAGAAGGUCCUGCUCUUUGUGGUGGGGUUGACGGUAGCCGGGUUAUGAAGCGCCGGCUAACUACGUG
rnacentral:rRNA from 1 species